ensembl:lncRNA
AUAUGAACGAAUCCUACCAUCUUACGCAUGAACUCACAUUCCAGCUGAACUUUAUCAUCCAAAGAUCAGGAUUACAUUUUACAGGGCGAUGGCAGGACAGAGGCAGGGCUGCUGGAGUUUGAAGCUCCUGGUCAUCCUCAGCCUCCUCAGCCUCACUGAAGAGUUCGAGGUGAGAGAUGAUGAGUGGGAGGAACUCGGCUCUGACAUCGCUGCACUGCAUCAACUCCAAGGACUGUCUGAACAUAUGUUUGAUGAAAAGCUUAUGAACUCCUCAACAACCAGGGGAAAUGGCUACCACCUGUCAAGAUUUGGAAGAUCUGUAAAAAGGCUGGACACUGAGCCACUAACUUUGCUGGAUGGAUUUCAGGACUGUGAAAACUUCCCAGCUUGUGUCAUUACAAAGGAGAAGGACUUUAAUGCCUUCUUGGCACAUAUUGACAAACAGAAGGUACAAGACUGGUUGCUGGGUGCUUCAGAGAUCUCCCACAGCUACAGCCAAAAACUUCUGAUCAUGACCGACAGAGAAAAAUCCACCAGUGACAGAGUCCAGCAGGAAUACAGCAUGGAUCCUCAUUACUCCGUGAAAGUCACCAAGGACUGCCUGUUCAACGACGCCUGUGUACCAGCAGCAGACAGAUACACUGUAGUGAAAAUAUUUGGAAGUGUUUCAGAAGAUGGACAAACUGUGUCUGGACUUGAUGGAUCUUCACUUGCAAAGCUGAUGUUGAAACCAUCUCUGGAAGCGGCUCCAGUUUUCUCUCUCGAUGGAAACACAACCACACAGUUCCACCAGAACUUCAUUCGGGUUUUUAUGCUCCGCGGCCUCCAAACAGUCUUAGAAACCAACCAGAACAAUCAGCAGAUUUACCAGGUGAUGGAUCGACCUGACUCCGUUUCCAGCUACAAAAUCCCACAAAGACCAGCUGAUCACACCACACAGUAUGACCACCAGCAGAUCAUAAUGAUGGAAAAUGAUCCUGUGGUCAGAAGAGCUGCUGAAUAUUUGUAUGACAAACAUCCAGCAGUUAGUUCUGUCUAUGUUCUUGAUGAAAACCAAAGACCCAAACUGAUCCACGGUGGACCAGUGUCUCUGUCAGAGGACAGCAGAC